rnacentral:rRNA from 1 species
GACGAACCGUGCGAACGUUGUUCGGAAUCACUGGGCUUAAAGGGCGCGUAGGCGGCUCGCGAGGUCGGGGGUGAAAUCCCACAGCUUAACUGUGGAACUGCAUUCGAUACUGCAGUGCUUGAGGACUGGAGAGGAGACUGGAAUUCAUGGUGUAGCAGUGAAAUGCGUAGAGAUCAUGAGGAAGACCAGUGGCGAAGGCGGGUCUCUGGACAGUUCCUGACACUGAGGCACGAAGGCCAGGGGAGCAAACGGG